UCUCCGUUGGUGAACCAGCGGAGGGAUCAUUACAGGACUCGCAAGACUCCUACAACCCUGUGAACUUAACUAUAAGCACGUUGCUUCGGCGGGUGUCUCGGAGGGGGUUCUCCCUCUCCGAGACGCUAAACCCGCCGGCAGCCUACUAUACUCUGUCUCUUUGCGUUGGCAUCUCGAGUACAAUCAAACAAGUUAAAACUUUCAACAACGGAUCUCUUGGUUCUG
rnacentral:misc_RNA from 1 species